GCGAACGCUGGCGGCGUGCUUAACACAUGCAAGUCGAACGGAAAGGCCCUGCUUUUGUGGGGUGCUCGAGUGGCGAACGGGUGAGUAACACGUGAGUAACCUGCCCUUGACUUUGGGAUAACUUCAGGAAACUGGGGCUAAUACCGGAUAGGAGCUCCUGCUGCAUGGUGGGGGUUGGAAAGUUUCGGCGGUUGGGGAUGGACUCGCGGCUUAUCAGCUUGUUGGUGGGGUAGUGGCUUACCAAGGCUUUGACGGGUAGCCGGCCUGAGAGGGUGACCGGCCACAUUGGGGCUGAGAUACGGCCCAGACUCCUACGGGAGGCAGCAGUGGGGAAUAUUGCACAAUGGGCGGAAGCCUGAUGCAGCAACGCCGCGUGCGGGAUGACGGCCUUCGGGUUGUAAACCGCUUUCGCCUGUGACGAAGCGUGAGUGACGGUAAUGGGUAAAGAAGCACCGGCUAACUACGUG
rnacentral:rRNA from 1 species